rnacentral:rRNA from 1 species
AACGAACGCUGGCGGCAGGCUUAACACAUGCAAGUCGAGCGCCCCGCAAGGGGAGCGGCAGACGGGUGAGUAACGCGUGGGAAUCUACCCAUCCCUACGGAAUAGCUCCGGGAAACUGGAAUUAAUACCGUAUACGCCCUACGGGGGAAAGAUUUAUCGGGGAUGGAGGAGCCCGCGUUGGAUUAGCUAGUUGGUGGGGUAAAGGCCUACCAAGGCGACGAUCCAUAGCUGGUCUGAGAGGAUGAUCAGCCACAUUGGGACUGAGACACGGCCCAAACUCCUACGGGAGGCAGCAGUGGGGAAUAUUGGACAAUGGGGGCAACCCUGAUCCAGCCAUGCCGCGUGAGUGAUGAAGGCCUUAGGGUUGUAAAGCUCUUUCACCGGGGAAGAUAAUGACGGUACCCGGAGAAGAAGCCCCGGCUAACUUCGUGCCAGCAGCCGCAGUAA